AAGGAAUAUUGGUCAAUGGACGAAAGUCUGAACCAGCCAUCCCGCGUGCAGGAUGAAGGUCCUAUGGAUUGUAAACUGCUUUUAGCAGAGAAGAAAAGCAUCCUUUUAAGGGUGUCUGACGGUAUCUGCGGAAUAAGCACCGGCUAACUCCGUGCCAGCAGCCGCGGUAAUACGGAGGGUGCAAGCGUUAUCCGGAAUCACUGGGUUUAAAGGGUGCGUAGGCGGAAUAUUAAGUCAGUGGUGAAAGCCUGUCGCUUAACGAUAGAACUGCCAUUGAUACUGAUAUUCUUGAAUUGGGUUGAGGUUAGCGGAAUGUGACAUGUAGCGGUGAAAUGCAUAGAUAUGUCAUGGAACACCAAUUGCGAAGGCAGCUAGCUGGGCCUUGAUUGACGCUGAGGCACGAAAGCGUGGGUAGCGAAC
rnacentral:rRNA from 1 species